GCUUCACACAAGAGUCUGCAGCAGGUGCCGGUUAAUGGUAACCCGUCUGCCGCAUGAAGCCUAAACAAAUCCAAGAUGAAGAUCCAUUAGAGUUAAUUGUACUCUCUUGACACAAUAUCUUGGAUAUAUUUAUGUAUACAUAUUAUUUUCAAUGGCAUAUCUCAGACAACGGGUAUUUUCUUCUUAUUUCUAUGAGAAUUUGCCUUUUGCACGGUGCCUAGACAAUGCUACUUAUCACGAUUGAAGGAUGUUCUGUUUUAUUCCCAGCAUUCUUUCAAAUUAAUAGUAGUCAAAUUAUUUUAAGCAUUGAUGAGAUAGCGAACAUGUAAGGAGAUCUAUUUUAAGCUUGGAUCAGCUUGGAUCUUCAAUGAAAUUUUCUUGUUACGCUUGGCUUCUGAGCU
rnacentral:misc_RNA from 1 species